rnacentral:lncRNA from 1 species
UUGAAAGUUAAACUUUAAUCUUUUGACAUGGUGGAAUUUGUUUCCAUGUGGCAAUCUAUGUGGCAUUUAAAAAAUAAUAAUUGAGAGAGUGUAAUACACACACUAUCAUAUUUUACUUGAGGUGUGUUUUUCAAAAUAAAAUGUAAUAGUUUAGGUGUGUUUCUCAGACUUUCGAUAGUUCGGGUAUGAAACUCAAAAAAAAGGUAUAGUUUAGGUGUGUUUUA